rnacentral:rRNA from 1 species
GAUGAACGCUGGCGGCGGGCCUAAUACAUGCAAGUCGAGCGAACGGACGAGAAGCUUGCGUCUCUGAUGUUAGCGGCGGACGGGUGAGUAACAAGUGGAUAACCUACCUAUAAGACUGGGAUAACUUCGGGAAACCGUAGCUAAUACCGGAGAAUAUUAUGAACCGCAUGGUUCAAAAGUGAAUGACGGUCUUGCUGUCACUAAUAGAUGGUUCCGCGCUGCAUUAGCUAGUUGGUAAGGUAACGGCUUACCAAGGCAACGAUGCAUAGCCGACCUGAGAGGGUGAUCAGCCACACUGGAACUGAGACACGGUCCAGACUCCUACGGGAGGCAGCAGUGGGGAAUCUUCCGCAAUGGGCGCAAGCCUGACGGAGCCACACCGCGUGAGUGAUGAAGGUCUUCGGAUCGUAAAGCUCUGUUAUUAGGAAAGAACAUAUGUGUGAGUAUCCGUGCACGUUUUGACGGUACCUAAUGAGUGAGCCCCGGCUAACUACGUG